UUCAUCUUUAUAUAUAUGCAUGUCUAACACGUGUUGUUUACCAUUAUAAUGUAUAUAUAUGGUUCCUUCUCUUUUUUUCAUUUAUAUAUAUAUAUAUGCAUGUGCUAACACGUGUUGUUUAACAUUAUAAUGUAUCUAUAUGGUUCCUUUCAUUAAUUAGUUGGUUGGUAUUCCAAAUUAAAAUAGAAGGAAAUAAAUAGUUUGAUACACUAGUACGGGUCACCUUUGUGAGUGACUAUCACAAAAACUGCAGAAGAUGAAAGAGUGAAAACUCCUUAUUUAAAACUGCAGAUUCACAGAUCAGGAUGAUUAUGCGCAUGUACUAUUUGAAGGGCCUUGGAUGAUAGCAGAUCAUUAUCUAUUGAUGCAGAGGUAGAGCCCGCUUUUCUUACCACAAGAAACGGAUGUGCAGAAAGUUGCUGUAUGGAUCAGAAUCCCAAAUCUUCUAGUUGAAUUAUAUAACAAUUUCUUCCUCGGAAAAGUUGGAAAGACGCUUAGCACAAUGCUAAAAGUGGACGAGCUCACGUUUAUACACUCUCACAGUAAAUUUGCUAGAAUUUAUGUAGAAAUUGACCUGAGAAAGAAGAUUGUUCCAUCCUUCACAGCUAUUAGCAAAGAUUUUAACAUUGUUUAUGAGAGAUUACACCAAAUUUAUUUCAACUAUAUGGCAAAUAUGGGCAUAGAAUAAUCGAACAGUGUAGCAAAACGAUGACCAGAACCACCACCAACACCGCCACGGAUCGGACAGAAGGCAGAAAGCUCGGUGGAGAUGAGAGCAACAACGGUAAAGAGACUAAUCAGAACCUAAAAAAUUAAUAAAGUAUUCAAAAAAGGAAAGAAGAUUUAAUAGAGGCAAAUCAGGAAAGCACACCAACCGUUUUAGGAGGGAUGCAACAAAAUAGGCAAGCUUCACAAAAUUAGAAAACCAAUCAGAAAUAAAUCAAGGAAGAUCAAGGAGGCAACCCAUUUGGACCAUGGAUGAUAGUUAAGAAAAACCAAAGAAGAAACAAACCAAAAUCAGAUCCUUUUGAAAAGGUUAAAAAAGAAAGUAUACAAACAUCAAGGUUUCAUAUCCUUGCAGAAGAAAUUCAGGAAGGUAAUCAAGAAAAGGAAGAAAAUAACCCGGUACUGCUCCUGUAGAGACGUCGGAAGCUUGGAAGGACACCCAAAUAGCAAGAACUAGCGAAAAAAGUGUUACCAAACAGACUAAUAAAAAUGGAAGUAACCCUCACAACCAGAAAAGCCAACAGAAACACAAAACCCCAUUCCCAUCAUGAAAGGAAAGAAUAUUGCCAUUAGUAAGAAAAUUCCAACACUCUCUAAACAUGUAAAACAACCCAACCAUAACCAGAAAAGCAUUAAGAGCUUCCAUACAAAUCAGGACAGCCAUAACUUUUUCCAAGAAAACCAGAAGAAUAACCAGAAGGUACAAGACAACCAAAAAGAUAAAGAAGAGAGACACUAGGAGUAUUGGAGACAAUUCUCAUAUCUUACUAAACAAGUUGCAAGUGCUAACUGUAUGCAACCUGUUUUAAUGGGAGGCCAUUUAGAUCAUACUACCAGAAACCUCAUCUCAACUAUCAUGGGAGGUGGGAAUAAAGAGUAUCUUAACAAUACUGAAGCCAAAAGCCCUCCAGAUCCAGGAGAAUCCAGCACCAAAGCAGAAAAAGAUGUCCCAAUGGAGGGACAAGAACAACAGAGGGGAGAAGAGUAUAUCCGAAGCAUAGAAGAGGUGGCACAGGCCACUAAUGACAAGCUGAUUGAGGCCUAGAUUCCUGACAUUUCUUCAGGGAGUUUUUUCUACGUCUUUAUUUAUUAAUGGUUAUUAUGAAUAUAUUAGCUUGGAAUUGUAGAGGGGUUUCCUCUAAAGGAUUUUCCAUUAUGAUUAGAGACUUAACUUAUCAUUACAAUCUGAAAUUGUGUAUCCUUCUUGAAACCUAUGUCUUAGGAACCAAAGUAGAGGGAUCAUCCACAAAUUAGGGUUUGAGUCUUUGUGCAUUAGCAAUGCAAAGGGCUUCUCGGGAGGGAUUUGGUAUCUUUGGAACAGAAAGGAUUAACAGAUUGAGCCUGUUAAUGUCCAGAGACAGUUUAUUCACCUAAAGAUUAAAAAUAAUAAUAUUCAGAUCUAGCAUUGCACAUGUAUUUACGACAGCCCCCAAAUUGGAACGCGAAGUACCUUGUGGAGGGAGCUAGAAAAUAUAGCAGCAACUAAUCAAGCGCUGUGGUGUCUUGGUGGGAAUUUAAAUUCUAUCAUUUCUCUUGAGGAAACUGGGGGCAGUUUUAAUUUAUCGCAAGACUCAAACAGAUUUCAAGAAUGCAUGCUUAACUAUGGUCUAAACAAUUUAGGCUUUUUUGGCCCGCCAUUCAGUUGGCAAAGAAAUUAGAUUAAAUGCAUGCUUGAUAGAUUCUUAUACAAUUUGGAGUUCAAUAUUUUAUUUCCAUCCGUUGGGGUGAAACAUCUACCUAAAUUGAAGUCUGGCCAUCUACCUAUACUCCUAGAUUUUGACACCCUUGUGGAAAACAGGAGAGAGAGAGACCUUUCAAGCUACUCGCACCCUGGCUGCUCCAUGAGGGUUACAAUAAUUUGGUGAGGAGUAACUGGUGCAAACAAGGUGAUCUCAUAAAAAAACAUUCAUCUUUCCUUUAAUAAUAAUUCGUUUUUGGAAAAACUUCAAAAGGACAUUUGGAGGGAAUAUAAAAUGAUUAUGGUACAAGAAGAAAGCCAUUGGAUGCAAAUGGCUAAAUGUAAAAUCAUUAAUUUAGGGGGACAAAAACUCUAAAUACUUUCAUCAGAAAGCUAAUGGAAGGAGACGAAAGAACUAUGUUACUGCACUAAAAAACAACGAUGACGAAUGGAUUGAGGAUGUGGAAGAGCUAAAGGAGCUUGGAGUAUCCUUUUUCAAAUCUUUAUAUGCUCCUAAUAGCUAUGAUUUAUUUUUACCUGAUUUUCCUGUCACAGGUAAGUUGCCUGGGCUAGCUGAGGCUGACUUAAACCACUUGAGCAGACAUAUCACCCAUGAGGAAGUUAAACAUGUUGUGUUCAAUAUGGGUAGUUGGAAGGUGCCAGGAAGAGAUGGACUACCAGCAAAAUUUUUCCAGCAUUCCUGGGACAUUAUAACUGAUUUAGUGGUGAAUUGGGUGCAUAUGAUCAUUAGAAAUCCUGAGAAUAUAGCUAGAGCAAACCAAACCUUAAUAUCUAUCAUUCCUAAAAUUCUCUCACUUAAAAACUUUACACAGUUCAAACCAAUCAGUCUCUGUAACAUCUGCUACAAAAUUAUUACUAAAUUUAUUACAGAAAGAAUAAAACCGCACUUGGGGUACAUUGUUUCUAACACCCAGGCCAGCUUCAUCCCAAGAAGAAUUAGUGCAGAUAACAUUCUAGUAGCACAGGAGGCGGUCAAUACUACGAGGACGAGAGCUAGCGGUAAAGGGCUCAUGGCAGUCGAAAUAGACUUCGAGAAGGCCUAUAACCGUCUUAAUUAGAACUUUAUCAUUGACACCCUCAAAGAUAUUGGCAUCCCGGAAAUAUUUUGAAUGUUAUUCACUUCUGCAUCUCCUCCCCCACUAUGAGUUUGCUUUGGAAUAGAUCUCCAUCAGAGACUUUCAACCCAACAAGAGGCAUUAGACAGGGGGACCCCUUAUCCCCUUAUUUUCUUUCUCUUAUGUAUCGAAAGACUCUCUCAACUAAUUAACUCCUUAAUAGAGCAAAAAAAUAGAAACCUAUUAAGUUGACUAGGAAUGGUCCUCAUCUUUGUUUUGCAGAUGAUCUCAUUCUUUUCGCGGAAGCAAACAAGGAGCAGGUUCGAGUCAUAAAGGAAGCGCUAGAGACCUUUUGUAAAGCUUCUGGUCAGAAAGUCAGCGCCAGCAAAUUCUACAUCUUUUUCUCCAAGCAUGUUAAUCACAAUAGAAGAGAGGAGCUCAACAAAGAUCUCGGUAUUCCGCCAACCAGCAACUUAGGAAAGUACUUCGGCAUACCGCUCAUCCAUGAGAAGUGCGAAAAACACCAUUUUCAACCAAUUCUAGAUAAGAUGCGGGCCAAAUUGUUGAGUUAGAACAUGAAAACCCUUUCUCUUGCCAGAAAAUGCACCAUUGUUCAAGCGGUUUUGACUACUAUUCGGAGCUAUACUAUGCAGAUGAUGAAGAUGCCUAAGGAGGUUUGUAAUAAAAUUGAUAAAAUGUGCAGAGAUUUUUUUUGGGGAUCUAAUAUGGAGAACAAGAAGAUUCAUCUUUUGAAUUGGGAUACCAUUUGCUAGCCAAAGGAGUUAGAAGGGCUAAGAUUGCAAAAGGCACAAGAAUUCAACAACCUUUUUCUCAUGAAAUUGGCUUAGGGGUUGGUGCAUAAUGAUCAAGCUCUCUGGGUGAGAGUAAUGAAGGCGAAGUUUGGUUGCGGGGACAGUUUUAUUCCAAAGGUUGCUAAAGGAGCGAAGUGUUCUAAUGCUUGGAAAGGUAUUGUUAAAAUUUGGGAUCAAUUUCAAAGCAAUUUAAUCUGGAGGAUUGAAAAUGGAAAGAGCAUUAGAUUUUGGAAAGAUCGCUAGAUUCCUAGAAUAUCAUAGCUGAGUGAGUUAUCGCUGGAACAGAUCGGGAAAGACAGAGCUGACGAGGAUUUAGCAACCAAUUCUACGGUGGAAGGAUGUUGGGAUUGGGAGAGGUUAGCUCAACUGCUCCCAGAGGAGGUUAUAGAUAUGAUUCGUACUUUGAAAGCACUCAACCAUUCCCUCGGACCUAAUUCCUUAGGAUGGCUACUAGAACCUCAGGGCAGUUUUUCUAUCAAAUCAGCUUACAAAAGCUACUAUGUUGAAGAUAGGGAUCUAGACCAGAUUUAUAGAAUUUGCUGAAAAAUCAGGAUUCUUCCAAGACUGAGAACUUUUGCUUGGCUCUUAAGCCAUAACGCACUUCUAACUAAUUCAAAAAUAAGAGUUUUAGGGCUUAUCGAUAAUGGAUGCUGUCCAAGAUGCCUGAAUAUUGAAGAGAGUUUGUUCCAUGUGCUGAGGGACUACCCGUAUGCCCAAGAAGUCUGGAUGAGCAACUCAAACAGAAACCUGCAGGACCCUUUCUUCAGCUAGAAUCUCCAAGACUGGCUCCACGAUAACCUGUCCAAGUCGCACUAGCUGUGAGACUUCAUGGCCCACCUUCUUUCUUACUUCUUGCAAUACCAUUCGGUGAAAGAGAAAUGAAUUAAUUUUCAAUCAAGAUAACAUUCCUUUUCAAAGAGUAAUCCCAUAAAUUAAAAGGGUGGCCAGGAAUUAUAAGAAAGUUUUAGAACUUACAGAGAGAAGUAUCAUAACCCUCAGAGUGACAAAUUCGAUCCUAAUUGGUUAAAAGCCACUGAAAGCUAGCUGGUGCAAACUUAAUAUUGAUGGCUCGGUCCUCCAAACUUCAAAUUCUGGCUCAUGUGACGGCAUUCUCAAAGAUUCAAACGGCCUAGUUAUGGCUGGAUUCAUGAUGAAUAUUGAAAAGGUAACCAUCACUAAUGCAAGCUAUGGGCAAUCUACACAGGUCUUAAAAUUGUAAUUGAUAUAGGAAUGGAGAAGGUACAGGUAGAGACGGAUUCUACCUUUGCAGUAAAUCUGUUGUAGCAUACAUCUACAGACCUCCAUGACAGCACCUCCCUCAUCCGUGCAAUUAAAGAGCUCUAAGCAAAUCUGGGUGACUGCCGAGUGAACCACGUCUCAAAGAAAGUCAAUUUCAGUGCCGAUAUCCUAGCUAAGCAUGCCCAUAAUCUUCUGGCGGGUCUCCACCAAUUUAUCUCGCCUCCCCCCCCUUCCUUUCUAGUGCCAACGAUUGAAGCUGACAAAAGACAGAUGAUAUUUGUUAGAGUUGUGAAUUCCUAGUUAGUUUUUGCUUUUAGGCCUGUAGCUCCUUCUUAAUAAAAAAAAAAAAAGGAUUAACUUCUACAUUCAUACGAACAAUCCUUA